UACGUAGGGCGCAAGCGUUGUCCGGAAUUAUUGGGCGUAAAGAGCUCGUAGGCGGUCUGUCGCGUCUGCCCGUGAAAACCCGAGGCUUAACCUCGGGCUGGCGGUGGAUACGGGCAGACUAGAGGUAGGUAGGGGAGAAUGGAAUUCCCGGUGUAGCGGUGAAAAUGCGCAGAUAUCGGGAGGAACACCGGUGGCGAAGGCAGGUCUCUGGGCCAUAACUGACGCUGAGAAGCGAAAGCAUGGGGAGCGAACAGG
rnacentral:rRNA from 1 species